GUGUCAGCAGCCGCGGUACUACGGAGGAUGCGAGCGUUAUCCGGAUUUAUUGGGUUUAAAGGGUGCGUAGGCGGCGAUGCAAGUCAGCGGUAAAAGCCCGGGGCUCAACCCCGGCGAGCCGUUGAAACUGCAGUGCUAGAGAAGGCGAGAGGUACGCGGAAUGCGCAGUGUAGCGGUGAAAUGCUUAGAUAUUGCGCAGAACUCCGAUUGCGAAGGCAGCGUACUGGCGCCUGACUGACGCUGAGGCACGAAAGCGUGGGGAUCGAACAGGAUUAGAUACCCUGGUAGUCCACGCAGUAAACGAUGAAUGCCGGCUGUUCGGGAUGAUUGAGUCCUGAGCGGCGAAGCGAAAGCGAUAAGCAUUCCACCUGGGGAGUACGCCGGCAACGGUGAA
rnacentral:rRNA from 1 species